rnacentral:rRNA from 1 species
AGAGUUUGAUCCUGGCUCAGAUUGAACGCUGGCGGAAUGCUUUACACAUGCAAGUCGAACGGCAGCACGGACUUCGGUCUGGUGGCGAGUGGCGAACGGGUGAGUAACAUAUCGGAACGUAUCCAAUAAUGGGGGAUAACUAAUCGAAAGGUUGGCUAAUACCGCAUACGCCCURMGGGGGAAAGCUAGGGAYCUUCGGRCCUGGCGUUAAUGGAGCGGCCGAUAUCUGAUUAGCUAGUUGGUGGGGUAAAGGCCCACCAAGGCGACGAUCAGUAGCUGGUCUGAGAGGACGACCAGCCACACUGGAACUGAGACACGGUCCAGACUCCUACGGGAGGCAGCAGUGGGGAAUUUUGGACAAUGGGCGCAAGCCUGAUCCAGCCAUUCCGCGUGAGUGAAGAAGGCCUUCGGGUUGUAAAGCUCUUUCGCAAGGGAAGAAAACUUAUCCUCUAACAUAGGAUGAGGUUGACGGUACCUUGAUAAGAAGCACCGGCUAACUACGUGCCAGCAGCCGCGGUAAUACGUAGGGUGCGAGCGUUAAUCGGAAUUACUGGGCGUAAAGCGUGCGCAGGCKGUUUUGUAAGUCAGAUGUGAAAUCCCCGAGCUCAACUUGGGAACUGCGUUUGAAACUACAAGACUAGAAUAKGUCAGAGGGGGGUAGAAUUCCACGUGUAGCAGUGAAAUGCGUAGAGAUGUGGAGGAAUAYCAAUGGCGAAGGCAGCCCCCUGGGAUMAUAUUGACGCUCAUGCACGAAAGCGUGGGGAGCAAACAGGAUUAGAUACCCUGGUAGUCC